UGGGGAAUAUUGCGUAAUGGCCGGAAGGCUGACGCAGCGACGCCGCGUGGGGGAUGAAGCAUUUCGGUGUGUAAACCCCUGUUGCCCGGGACGAACAAGCAGAUUUUUCUGCUCUGACGGUACCGGGUGAGGAAGCACCGGCUAACUCCGUGCCAGCAGCCGCGGUAAUACGGAGGGUGCGAGCGUUGUCCGGAAUCACUGGGCGUAAAGGGCGCGUAGGCGGUCUGCUAAGCGUGCGGUGAAAGCCCGGGGCUCAACCCCGGGUCUGCCGUGCGAACUGGGGGACUAGAGCACUGUAGAGGCAGGUGGAAUUCCGGGUGUAGCGGUGGAAUGCGUAGAGAUCCGGAAGAACACCGGUGGCGAAGGCGGCCUGCUGGGCAGUAGCUGACGCUGAGGCGCGACAGCGUGGGGA
rnacentral:rRNA from 1 species